GGGACUUUGAACUCUUUGCUUCUGUGAUUAGCUGCCUUUCUAAGGAAAGAUUCUGUUAGGAGGAAGAAGUGGUGGAAGGGCAGGAGAAGCACUGAGAAGCAGAGCAGCUCAGGAGGCCGUGGUACUCCUGCACCUGGUGGCAGUUGAGGCAGGAGAGGAUAAUAACUAGUGAUCCUCCAUGCAGCAUGGAAGUUCUACUGUGAGUCAGUUUCCCCAGGUCAAGGCUGUUGGAUGACUGAUGCCCUGACUAAUUUAACAUCUAGCAAAGGUUUAUAAUUCUUGGACAAAACUUGUCCCACCCAGAAGGCUACCCUGCUCCACCCGUCAUGAGCAAGAAAGCUCCUUGAUGUAAGGAAAUGGAGAGAAGGAAACAGCAUUUGUUUGAAAAAGUGAGGGCAAAUGGCAACAUCAGAUGCCUGCCCACUUUGAUGGAUGCAGAAGCUCUUACAAAAGCAUACAUCUGACAUUUCAGGGCUACUGAAGGGUUGUUCAACAGUCUCUAACAAGAAAACAAAUGCCAGUGCCAGUAACAGAUCUCGCUGGAAACUUCAUGAGGAGCUCUGCUUUACCGAUCCUUGAGAUAACAGAGAUAUGUCACCUGCGUGCACUAUUUCCUUGUAUUCUGCCACCAUGUCACCAGUCCCUGACAGUAUCGUUCAACUCACUCUGACUUUAAAUAUUAUGUAUAUUUAGUGAUAGCAACAUCAAAUACCUGGGAGUCUUCUGGUGUAAGUGCUAAUAAACGUGGAUAUGAACGCAUUGCAAGAGUCUCUUUCAGUACCCUUUCUGUGCACUGGUGAAACUUCCCACCAUCCUCUGGAAGCUGGCCUAUCUCUUAGAGAUAACUGUGAGCUAGGGGUAAGGUGCCACACUGAGGGUGUACAGGGCAGUGAACCAACAGAAGCCCACAGCCAGUAUUGGGCUGCCUGCUCUCAGCCACCAGAGGUGACAUUCAGUCUACAAGAAAAAAUAAUUAAUGCUGACUAACAUCAUCCUGACCUUCUUCAGGACCUCAUGGACAGAAAUUUAGAGGUUUAUUUCAAACAUUCAGGUUGGGUAAUUGCAAAUCUUGCUUUUUAAUUCCAGAGGUCUUGGGAGCAGUGCCAGAGCUGAGCUAGAGGGUAUAUCAUUCAUUAUCAGUAGUCUAACCUAUGCUGAGAGACAGAGUCCUCCAGCACUAGCAUGUCCAGAUUUCAGAAGAUGGCUCCUCCAUAAGUCAAGAAGUAUCUGAAAAAUUAAAGAACAAUCUGUGGUGUUAUAUGAAAAAAAACUUUAAAUUGUGGUACUUUUGCGAUUCGUGUUUGAUUUGUUGAGUUGCUAUCAGUUGUGGUUCAUGAAAAGCAUAUAAACAGCCACCAAUACAAAGAAAUCACCAAUAUUUAUAAUCCAUUUUUUAUGCCGUAUUUUAAGAUGUCAUUGCUAUCAUUACCUGGAUCUGUACUGUAUCCAAAUCUCUUCUGGUAAAUAAAUAAAUAAAUAAAUAAGCCUGUAGUUCUAUCUUAGGCAUUUCAAUACUUUAUUCUUCAAGGAUGUAUGUGUAGUCAGUGAAUAGAUCCAACUGCCAUGAGAAAAGAAUGGAUGCAUGCCCUGCCCUGGCCCAUUACCCUCUUAUUCAUUUCAAUACACUGCUUGAUUUGUAACUAUUACCCCUUGCUCAGCUAUUUAUUUUAUGGUAGCUCAUUGCAAUUCCUGUCAUUGCUUCCUCCUUAUUUUUCCAUUUUACCUGAUGCAGCUUGGCAUGUUUGAUAAGUGUAAGUGGGCCCAACUCAGUCUUGGCAUCUGCAAGCACAGUGCAACUGGCAUCAGUCAGAGCCACUAAUAACAGGAUGGACUUGGCACCAUGGAUGCACUGCAGGUAUCAGUGCAAACCGAUGACUUCAUUACUGCCUUUAUCAGUUUCACCCACCAUCACAGCCUCAAAGCCCAAAAAUGUGCUUAGUUUCAAGAAACUUGAGAAUUUUCUGCAGUGUUUUCUACCUGUCUCCACUGCCACUUUAGCUUCAGAUUUCCAUUUCUCUUGGUGUUUUCUGCUCUCAUCAUGGGACUAUGUUUGUUACCAUCCUCUAUGGUCUCAGCAUCAGGAGUCGAGAAGAUGGAGCAGUUUGAGCUGUAUUAUUUAUCUCACCUACUUUCCUUUCAGCAAGAAAUGACUCUGAACUCUUCCUCCUUCCACUCUCCCCCAAAUUUCUCCUUUCUUCAAGAUUAAGAGUCAUCAGAAGUAGAAAUCCUGGGUAUUCAUGUGGUAGUAUAGAUAUUUUUUGCUUGUUCAUUUAUAUUUUGCAUUACAUUUGUAUGUCUAUCUCUGGUAAAAGUAAGUUGUUUUUCUAAGUGAAAAGGUGCCCAGUAUGUUUAUCUGUUAAUUUUGAAUUCACAAGAAAAAUGAAACAAAACGCUACAACUGUUGCCAUCAUCUAGAAGGAAUAAAAAUUUCAGACUCCGGUCCCAGCUUUAUGCAUUUGAAAUGCAGAUUUGUGUAUUUCAGUGCUAGCUGGCUUAUAGGAAAUACAUAGGUAAUGCUCAUUGAAAGUAAAGAGGUGCAUCUAUUUGCUUAAUCUCAGAAGAGAGGAAAAAUGGUUGUAAUGCUUAUGUUUUCAGAGUAGAGAAUACAUCUUGCUUUAUUUUAAGAAUCUUUAAAUUCUGGAUUUAACAGGGUCAUCACAUAAAUAGUGGGAGAUGGCUGGGUGUGAUUUCCUCUCUUCUCUACAGUCUACUCUGCAGCAUCCAGAAGAAUAAGUUAUGUGAAAUAAUUAAAUUAUAGCAAUAAAUGUUAGGCAUCUAACAUUGCUUUGUGUAAUUAAAGUGUAAAUGGAGUUGUAGAAACGGUAGAAAACGUGGAGAAAAAUCUGCAGAUUUUACAAGAGGUGUGGACAGAGAAGGGAGAACAAGGAAAUUGUACAGACUUUUAUCACAACUACUUAUGGCUUUUUCUGGGGGUUGUAUUUCUUUGUACUCUUCCUCUACCCUUCUUGACUCUCCCUAUAAAGCAUUUUAUGAGACAUGUUAAGUAUUUUAUGUAAAAAAUAAGUUGUAUCACAUUGCACUGUAGGUCAAGGCAGGAAGGACACAUUGCCUGAAUAGCUAGUUAAUCUCUUUCAUCUUUCUCAUGCUGUCAUUAAUGCUUAUCUGUUCCCAUAGCUAUUGCAAAGUCAUCUGUUUUCUCCAGUGGCAUAGUGCAAUAAUAAAAUCUUCUGGUUUGACAUGCUAGUUUUUUGUGAUGCUAGUUUUAUGCAUGUCCAUUUUGAGAUCAGAUUUGUGCUUUCUUGCUUUUAUCUUGUUCUCUAGAUUCUAUUGUCUGGGAAUGCUGGAAUUUAACUUCACAUUUCUGUCAUCUUGUAUGAGAGUGGUUUAAUGCUGAUGUGUAUGGCGUAAGAGGGCUUCUUUUCAAUCUUACUGAUAAAGAUCCUAUGAAUUAGUUGGCUGAGUUUCUCUGUGGAGUUUUUUUAACUCAGUGGUUAUCUAAU